UGGAAAGGCGCGCGAUACAGGGUGACAGCCCCGUACACAAAAAUGCACAUAUUGUGAGCUCGAUGAGUAGGGCGGGACACGUGGUAUCCUGUCUGAAUAUGGGGGGACCAUCCUCCAAGGCUAAAUACUCCUGACUGACCGAUAGUGAACCAGUACCGUGAGGGAAAGGCGAAAAGAACCCCGGCGAGGGGAGUGAAAAAGAACCUGAAACCGUGUACGUACAAGCAGUGGGAGCCUCUUUAUGGGGUGACUGCGUACCUUUUGUAUAAUGGGUCAGCGACUUAUAUUCUGUAGCAAGGUUAACCGAAUAGGGGAGCCGAAGGGAAACCGAGUCUUAACUGGGCGUUAAGUUGCAGGGUAUAGACCCGAAACCCGGUGAUCUAGCCAUGGGCAGGUUGAAGGUUGGGUAACACUAACUGGAGGACCGAACCGACUAAUGUUGAAAAAUUAGCGGAUGACUUGUGGCUGGGGGUGAAAGGCCAAUCAAACCGGGAGAUAGCUGGUUCUCCCCGAAAGCUAUUUAGGUAGCGCCUCGUGAAUUCAUCUCCGGGGGUAGAGCACUGUUUCGGCAAGGGGGUCAUCCCGACUUACCAACCCGAUGCAAACUGCGAAUACCGGAGAAUGUUAUCACGGGAGACACACGGCGGGUGCUAACGUCCGUCGUGAAGAGGGAAACAACCCAGACCGCCAGCUAAGGUCCCAAAGUCAUGGUUAAGUGGGAAACGAUGUGGGAAGGCCCAGACAGCCAGGAUGUUGGCUUAGAAGCAGCCAUCAUUUAAAGAAAGCGUAAUAGCUCACUGGUCGAGUCGGCCUGCGCGGAAGAUGUAACGGGGCUAAACCAUGCACCGAAGCUGCGGCAGCGACACUAUGUGUUGUUGGGUAGGGGAGCGUUCUGUAAGCCUGUGAAGGUGGCCUGUGAGGGUUGCUGGAGGUAUCAGAAGUGCGAAUGCUGACAUAAGUAACGAUAAAGCGGGUGAAAAGCCCGCUCGCCGGAAGACCAAGGGUUCCUGUCCAACGUUAAUCGGGGCAGGGUGAGUCGACCCCUAAGGCGAGGCCGAAAGGCGUAGUCGAUGGGAAACAGGUUAAUAUUCCUGUACUUGGUGUUACUGCGAAGGGGGGACGGAGAAGGCUAUGUUGGCCGGGCGACGGUUGUCCCGGUUUAAGCGUGUAGGCUGGUUUUCCAGGCAAAUCCGGAAAACCAAGGCUGAGGCGUGAUGACGAGGCACUACGGUGCUGAAGCGACAAAUGCCCUGCUUCCAGGAAAAGCCUCUAAGCAUCAGGUAACAUCAAAUCGUACCCCAAACCGACACAGGUGGUCAGGUAGAGAAUACCAAGGCGCUUGAGAGAACUCGGGUGAAGGAACUAGGCAAAAUGGUGCCGUAACUUCGGGAGAAGGCACGCUGAUAUGUAGGUGAAGCGACUUGCUCGUGGAGCUGAAAUCAGUCGAAGAUACCAGCUGGCUGCAACUGUUUAUUAAAAACACAGCACUGUGCAAACACGAAAGUGGACGUAUACGGUGUGACGCCUGCCCGGUGCCGGAAGGUUAAUUGAUGGGGUUAGCGGUAACGCGAAGCUCUUGAUCGAAGCCCCGGUAAACGGCGGCCGUAACUAUAACGGUCCUAAGGUAGCGAAAUUCCUUGUCGGGUAAGUUCCGACCUGCACGAAUGGCGUAAUGAUGGCCAGGCUGUCUCCACCCGAGACUCAGUGAAAUUGAACUCGCUGUGAAGAUGCAGUGUACCCGCGGCAAGACGGAAAGACCCCGUGAACCUUUACUAUAGCUUGACACUGAACAUUGAGCCUUGAUGUGUAGGAUAGGUGGGAGGCUUUGAAGUGUGGACGCCAGUCUGCAUGGAGCCGACCUUGAAAUACCACCCUUUAAUGUUUGAUGUUCUAACGUUGGCCCGUAAUCCGGGUUGCGGACAGUGUCUGGUGGGUAGUUUGACUGGGGCGGUCUCCUCCUAAAGAGUAACGGAGGAGCACGAAGGUUGGCUAAUCCUGGUCGGACAUCAGGAGGUUAGUGCAAUGGCAUAAGCCAGCUUGACUGCGAGCGUGACGGCGCGAGCAGGUGCGAAAGCAGGUCAUAGUGAUCCGGUGGUUCUGAAUGGAAGGGCCAUCGCUCAACGGAUAAAAGGUACUCCGGGGAUAACAGGCUGAUACCGCCCAAGAGUUCAUAUCGACGGCGGUGUUUGGCACCUCGAUGUCGGCUCAUCACAUCCUGGGGCUGAAGUAGGUCCCAAGGGUAUGGCUGUUCGCCAUUUAAAGUGGUACGCGAGCUGGGUUUAGAACGUCGUGAGACAGUUCGGUCCCUAUCUGCCGUGGGCGCUGGAGAACUGAGGGGGGCUGCUCCUAGUACGAGAGGACCGGAGUGGACGCAUCACUGGUGUUCGGGUUGUCAUGCCAAUGGCACUGCCCGGUAGCUAAAUGCGGAAGAGAUAAGUGCUGAAAGCAUCUAAGCACGAAACUUGC
rnacentral:rRNA from 1 species